rnacentral:rRNA from 1 species
AACCGCCACCGUCUCAGCCUGAAGGUCGCCCGAUCUCGUCUGAUCUCGGAAGCUAAGCAGGGUCGGGCCUGGUUAGGAUCUUGGAUGGGAGACCACCUGGGAAUCCCGGGUGCUCGAGGCUU